UUAAGUUCAGCGGGUAUCCCUACCUGAUCCGAGGUCAAGAGCAAAAAAUAUAGGCUUCAUGGACGCCGCAAUACACAGCGAGGAGCGCACAAUGUGCUGCGCUCUUAACACCAGAUUACCGGCUGCCAAUUGAUUUAAGGCGAGUCCACGCAUAGAGCAGGACAAACACCCAACACCAAGCAAAGCUUGAAGAUACAAAU
rnacentral:misc_RNA from 1 species